rnacentral:sRNA from 1 species
CUUGUGGCCCCCGCGGUGCGGAGUAUGGGGUGCUGAUGGCCAUGGAGGGCUACUGGCGCUUCCUGGCGCUGCUGGGGUCGGCACUGCUCGUCGGCUUCCUGUCGGUGAUCUUCGCCCUCGUCUGGGUCCUCCACUACCGAGAGGGGCUUGGCUGGGAUGGGAGCGCACUAGAGUUUAACUGGCACCCAGUGCUCAUGGUCACCGGCUUCGUCUUCAUCCAGGGCAUCGGCUGGAGUGCAGUGGCGCAAUCUCGGCUCACUGCAACCUCUGCCUCCCGGGUUCAAGCGAUUCUCGUGCCUCAGCCUCCAGAAUAGCUGGGAUUACAGGUGCAUGCCACCCCAUGCCUGGCUAAUUUUUGUAUUUUUAGUAGAGAUGGGGUUUCACCAUGCUGGCCAGGCUGGUCUUGAACUCCUGACCUCAAGUGAUACCCCGCCUCAGCCUCUCAAAGUGCUGGGAUUACAGGCAUGAGCCACUGGGCCCAGCCAAACUGAGACAUUUUUAAGAAGAAAGGAGACAACAGGCAUAAAUCAGAUUGUUAAGAUUAGGAAU